rnacentral:rRNA from 1 species
AAGCGGGAAGAGCUCAAAUUUGAAAUCUGGUAGCCUUCGGUUGCCCGAGUUGUAAUCUAGAGAAAUGUUUUCCGUGCCGGCCCAUGUACAAGUCCCUUGGAACAGGGCGUCAUAGAGGGUGAGAAUCCCGUCCUUGACAUGGACCCCCGGUGCUUUGUGAUACAUUUUCAACGAGUCGAGUUGUUUGGGAAUGCAGCUCAAAAUGGGUGGUGAAUUCCAUCUAAAGCUAAAUAUUGGCGAGAGACCGAUAGCGAACAAGUACCGUGAGGGAAAGAUGAAAAGCACUUUGGAAAGAGAGUUAAACAGUACGUGAAAUUGUUGAAAGGGAAACGAUUGAAGUCAGUCAUGCUCUUUGGUAUUUAUAUCAUUGAGUGGGGUCAACAUCAGUUUUGAUCGAUGGAUAAAGGCACUAGGAAGGUAGCACUCUCGGGUGAACUUAUAGCCUAGCGUCAUAUACAUUGAUUGGGACUGAGGAACGCAGCAUGCCUUUAUGGCCGGGAUUCGUCCACGUACAUGCUUAGGAUGUUGACAUAAUGGCUUUAAACGACCCGUCUUGAAACACGGACCAAGGAGUCUAACAUAUCUGCGAGUAUUUGGGUGUCAAACCCGAGUGCGCAAUGAAAGUGAACGUAGGAGCGAUGCGCAAGCUGCAGCUUCGACCGAUCUGGAUCUUUAGUGAUGGAUUUGAGUAAGAGCAUAUAUGUUGGGACCCGAAAGAUGGUGAACUAUGCCUGAAUAGGGCGAAGCCAGAGGAAACUCUGGUGGAAGCUCGUAGCGAUUCUGACGUGCAAAUCGAUCGUCAAAUUUGGGUAUAGGG